AUGCAAGUCGAACGGUGAAAGAGGAGCUUGCUCCUCUGGAUCAGUGGCGAACGGGUGAGUAACACGUGAGUAACCUGCCCUUGACUCUGGGAUAACCUCGGGAAACCGAAGCUAAUACCGGAUACGACCCUCGGAGGCAUCUCCAGGGGGUGGAAAGAACUUCGGUCAAGGAUGGACUCGCGGCCUAUCAGGUAGUUGGUGAGGUAAAGGCUCACCAAGCCGACGACGGGUAGCCGGCCUGAGAGGGUGACCGGCCACACUGGGACUGAGACACGGCCCAGACUCCUACGGGAGGCAGCAGUGGGGAAUAUUGCACAAUGGGCGCAAGCCUGAUGCAGCAACGCCGCGUGAGGGACGACGGCCUUCGGGUUGUAAACCUCUUUUAGUAGGGAAGAAGCGAAAGUGACGGUACCUGCAGAAAAAGCACCGGCUAACUACGUGCCAGCAGCCGCGGUAAUACGUAGGGUGCAAGCGUUGUCCGGAAU
rnacentral:rRNA from 1 species